rnacentral:rRNA from 1 species
UGGGGAAUAUUGCGCAAUGGGCGAAAGCCUGACGCAGCGACGCUGCGUGAGGGAUGAAGGCCUUCGGGUUGUAAACCUCUUUCAGCAGGGAAGAAGCGAGAGUGACGGUACCUGCAGAAGAAGCACCGGCUAACUACGUGCCAGCAGCCGCGGUAAUACGUAGGGUGCAAGCGUUGUCCGGAAUUAUUGGGCGUAAAGAGCUCGUAGGCGGUUUGUCGCGUCUGCUGUGAAAACUCGGGGCUCAACUCCGAGCUUGCAGUGGGUACGGGCAGACUAGAGUGCGGUAGGGGAGACUGGAAUUCCUGGUGUAGCGGUGAAAUGCGCAGAUAUCAGGAGGAACACCGGUGGCGAAGGCGGGUCUCUGGGCCGUAACUGACGCUGAGGAGCGAAAGCAUGGGGAGCGAACAGGAUUAGAUACCCUGGUAGUCCAUGCCGUAAACGUUGGGCGCUAGGUGUGGGGCUCUUUCCACGAGUUCUGUGCCGCAGCUAACGCAUUAAGCGCCCCGCCUGGGGAGUACGGCCGCAAGGCUAAAACUUAAAGGAAUUGACGGGGUCAUAGCUGUUUCCU